CUUGCGCAUGGCCGAAAGUCUAAAAGAAACGAGGCGCGAGCAAAGAAAAUAACGGUUUACUUUGUUUGCAUUUUGCAGCACAAGCAAAAUAUUACCAAACAUAGUGUGUCACAGAAAAAUAAUUGGGCCGAGUCUGGAAAAAAACCAUCAGGCAGACAUAAUGACCAGUAUAUCACCUCAAAGUUGCCAGGAGGUGAUAAACCUAGAGGGAGCGAAUGAGACACACAACUUCAAAGGGUGUCAGUGGUUGGUUUAAGCAUGAUGACCAGAAUAUGAGGAGUAGAGAUUGAGAGUAGGAAAGAUGAUGAGAAGUUGGAAGGUGUACCGGCUGUUUGAAGAAGAGGACCAAGGUGCAGCGUGACAUCAGGGCUGGUGGAUCCACACCCUUCCUCCAACCCCCAAAAGCAGCACUCCCAAGACAUAGCUGUCAAAACCCUCCCAGACAGCAUGGUAGAAUGACUUCAAACCUUGAACUGGAAAGCGGGAAUGCAAACUAGUCACAAUUUGAAUACAAAAGCAGAAAAAAAAUUGAAUGCAUUCUGGGACCAGGAGGCAAAGAAACCGCUGUGCCCAACCAAAGUGUCUGCCAUUUGCACGUUUUUUUAUUAUGCGAAACCAGAUGGAGAAGAAGGAAGUCUUAAAAAUAAUUAUAUUGAAGCAUAACAAUGAGUCGAAAUUGCUUAAGAAGUCCAAGAUUUAGGUUUAAACUGUAGUAACUUGGAGGCUAAGGCGUAACUUUUUUAUUUGUUAACUCAGUGAAAAAGUAUUUAAAAAAUGUAAUAUGAUGUUCUCGUAUCUUAAUGUACACUGAACAAAAAAAUGUGGGUCUACUAUAGUUAUUGCUGUUGUAUCACUAUAAGAUUGCUAUAAUAUUACUGUAAGAUAUACCAUUUGUACAGUUGAAGUUGGAAAAUUACAUACACUUAGGUUGGAGUCAUUAAAACUCAUUUUUCAACCACUCCAAAAAUGUCUUGUUAACCAAACUAUAGUUUUGGGAAGUCGGUUAGGACAUCUA